rnacentral:rRNA from 1 species
UUUCAUAAACAACCAGGAUGUUGGCUCAGAAGCAGCCACCAUUUAAAGAGUGCGUAAUAGCUCACUGGUCGAGAGACCCUGCGCCGAAGAUUCCCGGGGCUAAAGUACGAAACCGAAGCUGUGGCUGUAUACGUAAAGUAUACGGGGUAGGGGAGCGUUCCCAUAGGGUAGAAGUCGAACUGGAAGGUUCGGUGGACUUGUGGGAAGUGAGAAUGUUGGUAUGAGUAGCGAAAAGAAAGGUGAGAAUCCUUUCCACCGAAAGCAUAAGGAUUCCUGAGCAACGAUCGUCGUCUCAGGGUAAGUCGGGACCUAAUCCGAGGCAGAGAGCGUAGGAGAUGGACAACUGGUUGAUAUUCCAGUACCGGUAGUAAUUGUUUGAGCAAUGGAGUGACACAGAAGGGCAGGCAAGCAUGCGAAUGGAAGAGCAUGUGUAAGCGUGUAGGGUGGUGCAUAGGCAAAUCCGUGCACUGAAAGCCUGAGGCGUGAUGCGGAGUGAGCAGAGAUGCGAGCGAAGUUGUUGACCCCACACUGUCGAGAAAAGCUUCUAGUGAGAGAGCUACCGCCCGUACCGUAAACCGACACAGGUAUGCGGGGAGAGAAUCCUAAGGUGCGCGGGAGAACCCUCGUUAAGGAACUCGGCAAAAUGUACCCGUAACUUCGGGAUAAGGGUAGCCACUGUUGUGAAGUCCCAUGCGGAUGGAGCAUAGAGUGGUCGCAGAGAAGAGGCCCAAGCGACUGUUUACCAUAAACACAGGUGCCUGCUAAAGCGAAAGCUGACGUAUAGGUGCUGACACCUGCCCAGUGCCGGAAGGUUAAGGAAGGAUGUUCGGAGUAAUCCAAAGCAUUCGACUGAAGCCCCGGUGAACGGCGGCCGUAACUAUAACGGUCCUAAGGUAGCGAAAUUCCUUGUCGGGUAAGUUCCGACCCGCACGAAAGGUGUAACGACUUGGGCACUGUCUCAACGAGGGACCCGGUGAAAUUGAAGUACCUGUGAAGAUGCAGGUUACCCGCGACUGGACAGAAAGACCCCAUGGAGCUUUACUGCAACCUGACAUUGAUGUUCGGUAAAUAACGUACAGGAUAGGUGGGAGACGGAGAAGUAUUGGCGUUAGCUGAUAUGGAGUCAACCUUGGGAUACCACCCUUUAUUUAUUGGACCUCUAACUGAAGAAGUAACGACUCUCAGGACAGUAUCAGGCGGGCAGUUUGACUGGGGCGGUCGCCUCCCAAAAUGUAACGGAGGCGCCCAAAGGUUCCCUCAGCGCGAACGGAAACCGCGCAAAGAGUGUAAAGGCAGAAGGGAGCUUGACUGCGAGUCAGACACGACGAGCAGGUACGAAAGUAGGGCUUAGUGAUCCGGUGGUUCCGAGUGGAAGGGCCAUCGCUCAACGGAUAAAAGCUACCCUGGGGAUAACAGGCUAAUCUCUCCCAAGAGUCCAUAUCGACGGGGAGGUUUGGCACCUCGAUGUCGGCUCAUCACAUCCUGGGGCUGGAGCAGGUCCCAAGGGUUGGGCUGUUCGCCCAUUAAAGUGGUACGUGAGCUGGGUUCAGAACGUCGUGAGACAGUUCGGUCCAUAUCCAUCGCGGGCGUAAGAGACUUGAAGGGGGCUGCUCCUAGUACGAGAGGACCGGAGUGGACGGACCAAUGGUGUACCAAUUAUCCCGCCAGGGGUACAGUUGGGUAGCUACGUCCGGAAAAGAUAAACGCUGAAAGCAUCUAAGCGUGAAACUUGCCUUAAGAUGAGGUCUCCCGAAGCGAAAGCUUGAAAGACACCUUGAAGAUGACGAGGUUGAUAGGCCAGGAGUAGAAGUUCAGUAAUGAAUGUAGCGUACUGGUACUAAUAUGUCGAGAGCUUAACUUA